CUAUCGAGAAUAAAGGUGCCCGUACCGCAAACCGACACAGGUGGAUGAGGAGAGAAUCCUAAGGCGAGCGGGAGAAGCGUUGUUAAGGAACUCGGCAAAUUGACCCCGUAAGUUCGCGAGAAGGGGUGCCUUCAGAGGAGCAAUCCGAUGGAGGCCGCAGAGAAAUGGCCCAAGCAACUGUUUAUCAAAAACACAGGUCUCUGCUAAAUCGUAAGAUGAAGUAUAGGGGCUGACGCCUGCCCGGUGCUGGAAGGUUACGGGGAUUUGUAAGCGCAAGCGAAGCAAUGAACUUAAGCCCCAGUAAACGGCGGCCGUAACUAUAACGGUCCUAAGGUAGCGAAAUUCCUUGUCAGGUAAGUUCUGACCCGCACGAAUGGCGUAAUGAUUUGGGCACUGUCUCGACAACGCACCCGGUGAAAUUGUAGUACUCGUGAAGAUGCGAGUUACCCGCGACUAGACGGAAAGACCCCAUGGAGCUUUACUGUAGCCUGAUACUGUAUUUCGAUAUCUCAUGUACAGGAUAGGAGGGAGGCGGAGAAGCCAGGACGCCAGUCUUGGUGGAGCCAACGUUGGGAUACCUCUCUUGAGAUAUUGGAAUACUAACCAGAGGCCAUGAACUGGUCUUGGGACAAUGUCAGGUGGGCAGUUUGACUGGGGCGGUCGCCUCCAAAAGAGUAACGGAGGCGCCCAGAGGUUACCUCAGCACGGUUGGAAAUCGUGCAACGAGUGCAAAGGCAUAAGGUAGCCUGACUGCGAGACAAACAAGUCGAGCAGAUACGAAAGUAGGGCUUAGUGAUCCGGCGGUAUGAGAGUGGAAUUGCCGUCGCUCAACGGAUAAAAGCUACCCUGGGAUAACAGGCUUAUCUCCCCCAAGAGUCCACAUCGACGGGGAGGUUUGGCACCUCGAUGUCGGCUCAUCGCAUCCUGGAGCUGAAUUCGGUUCCAAGGGUUUGGCUGUUCGCCAAUUAAAGCGGUACGCGAGCUGGGUUCAGAACGUCGUGAGACAGUUCGGUCCCUAUCUGUCGUGGGCGCAGGAUAUUUGAAGGGAGCUGUCCUUAGUACGAGAGGACCGGGAUGGACGAACCUCUGGUGCACCAGUUGUCACGCCAGUGGCAUGGCUGGGUAGCCAAGUUCGGCAGGGAUAAACGCUGAAGGCAUCUAAGCGUGAAGCCCCCCCUAAGAUGAGAUAUCCCACCGCAAGGGUAAGACCCCAUGUAGACCACAUGGUUGAUAGGUCAGGAGUGGAAGUGCAGCAAUGCAUGGAGCUGACUGAUACUAAUCGGUCGAGGGCUUGAUC
rnacentral:rRNA from 1 species